CUGAUUGACCUGUAGUCACCCCUCCUCAGUUGACAGGGAGGAGGACUUUUUACCCUUCUGGGACUGUUUUCUACCCCACCCCUGCAACUGUCUGUCUUGAGUUUAUCACAACAUCCAGUCCAGCUCUUGGUCUCAAUGAUAUCCGAUGGUAAUGAGUUCCUGAGGCUAGCUGUGCAUUGUGAGCAUGGCUGAAACAACCAGUACAGGAAGAAAACAAGACCAACCGGAAACAGUGCCCAGUUCCAGCCUCCCCAGAACUGUGACCUAGGGCCAGGAGAAGCCAGCACCAGAAGGAGGGCAACAGAGGGAUCUAGAAGCAACAUCCUUAGCCUUUCUGGAGGGACUGGGGAAGGGGAGCAGCUGAGAACAUGAACAGAAUCUGCUGGAAUUGGAGAGGUGGGAGAAGAGCCUUAAAGCUAGUAACAGAAGUGUG